rnacentral:sRNA from 1 species
GCUGGGUGCGGUGGCAACCGCCUGUAAUCCCAGCUGCUUGGGAGGCUGAGGCAGGAGGAUCAUGAGUUCAAAGCCAGCCUCAGCAAAAGCAAGGCACUAAGCAACUCAGUGAGGCCCUGUCUCUA